rnacentral:lncRNA from 1 species
CACCAUCGUGGACACGCCGGGAUUCGGGGACGCUGUCAACAACACCGAGUGCUGGAAGCCCAUCACCGACUAUGUGGACCAGCAGUUUGAGCAGUACUUCCGUGAUGAGAGCGGCCUCAACCGAAAGAACAUCCAAGACAACCGAGUGCACUGCUGCCUAUACUUCAUCUCCCCCUUCGGGCAUGGUGAGAUCCGGAAGCUGAAGGAGCGGAUCCGGGAGGAGAUUGACAAGUUUGGGAUCCAUGUAUACCAGUUCCCUGAGUGUGACUCGGACGAGGAUGAGGACUUCAAGCAGCAGGACCGGGAACUGAAGGUGAA